UACAGAGGGUGCGAGCGUUAAUCGGAAUUACUGGGCGUAAAGCGCGCGUAGGCGGCUUUGCAAGUCGGGUGUGAAAUCCCCAGGCUUAACCUGGGAACUGCAUUCGAGACUGCAUUGCUAGAGUAUGGGAGAGGGAAGUGGAAUUUCAGGUGUUGCGGUGAAAUGCGUAGAUAUCUGAAGGAACAUCAGUGGCGAAAGCGACUUCCUGGACCAAUACCGACGUUCAGGCACGAAAGCGUGGGGAGCAAACAGG
rnacentral:rRNA from 1 species